CCUGGAAUACACAGCACUUGCCUGCUUUUGAGCCAUUGACUAAUUUGCAAUCCCUCGUUAGCAAAACAAACAAGCCGCUGAGCGGAUAAAUUCUGCACAUGAGUGUAACAGAAUAGCAACAGCAGGGAUCCGAUUGUUCCUCGCAGCAGCCUGGAGGCUGGAUGUUCUCCUUUUCCUAUGAGAAUUAUUCCUCCUUUACCAAUGCAGAAACCUAAUGUCCUGUGAUCCACCUGAAUCUCAGAUCUGCCUCCUGUCCAGCUCUGUUGCCUGUGAAGUCCCAGAACCCCAAUGUGAAUAAAUGUACAGCACUGUCAUAGACUGACCCAUUCCUCGUAACGGCACAAGGACAGUUAUUACAGUUUUGUUAAUGAAGGUGAAUUGCCCUUUCUAUUGUACUGGAGUUUUUGCGCACAAUUAAAAAACAAGAAUUGUAAAUCCCCCGAAACAUAUUAAUUCAGAAUCCUUACAAAAAUAUUUAAGUGUUUGCCCUCAAGAGGGUGGAAGAAUGUAUCUGAAGUUUCUGGCCUUUGCUAUAACAGAAAAAAGAUCAUUCUCAGGAAAAGCAUGGAAACCUCUGCAUUUUUUAUUUCUCUUUACCUAAGGUUAUUUCUAUUUUUUGAAGAAUUUUUUUAAAAGACUUGAAAUGGAGUUUUUUUUUACUUUAAUAUUUUACAAGCUGCUGGGAAUUCAAAUGGUGUUUGAUACUGAUAUAUAUAUAUUUAGACACGGUUGUUAAAAUAUGUCGAUUUUAUUUCAGGUUCUUAGGGUUUUCAUUACUCCCUCACAUGGGCAGAUUAAAGCUGUUGAUAUCGUUCCUUUAGAACAAUUCAGCAGCCUAUCUGUCCAUGUGUGGGGGCUUCCGACAGGUCCCCCCGAUCGAUAUCAGGCCAAAAAUUGGGCAGAUAUUGAUCGGUCAAGUUUGAUUUUUCCUGCGAACGAGGAACACAUCAGCUAGUUGAUGCGGUCCAACGACCCGUCGGUGCCCAUUCUCUCCAUUGUAAUCCGAUCAUUCUGAUUAAGCCAAUAUCAUCUUGCCGUUGGUGGGCAUAUCGAGGAAAGUUCCGCUCUUUUGUCGACCCCGCCAAAUGAGUGGAUCUUAUCGUGUAUGAACACUGUUAGACAGGGCAAAAAAAGCAAAUUUAAGCUUUUGAUAAAAAUUCGCAAAAAAAAUGCAUCUUGGGGUGGAAUGGACCUAUGUAGAGCAGGGCUAAACCAGUACCAGAUUCCAAAAGCAAAAAUACCCCAAAACUUAAGCUGGCCAUAGACUCAAAGAUCCGCUCGUUUGGCGACAUCGCCAAAGGAGCGGAUCUUUCCCCGAUAUGCCACUAAUGUAUGGCCGAACGAUCGAAUUACGAUGCGCCAAGGGGCUC